rnacentral:rRNA from 1 species
GUCCACGCCGUAAACGAUGGGUGCUAGGUGUGGGCGGUGUCGACUCCGUCCGUGCCGAAGCUAACGCAUUAAGCACCCCGCCUGGGGGAGUACGGCCGCAAGGCUAAAACUCAAAGGAAUUGACGGGGGCCCGCACAAGCAGCGGAGCAUGUGGUUCAAUUCGACGCAACGCGAAGAACCUUACCGAGACUUGACAUGCACUGGAAUGUCGUAGAAAUACGCCAGCCUUUCGGGGCUAGUGCACAGGUGGUGCAUGGCUGUCGU